GAUUAUCUCAGCUCAGGAGAUCAGACAGCAUCUGGAGAAAACUGUUGCCCAGCAGACAGACAAAUACAGCCAAGAGAUGCAGCAGCUCCAGACAACAACUGUAUUUGAUGAGAUUGCAGUGACCAUCAGGAGGCUGGUCGAUCCAGGAGCUGAGGAAAGCAACAUAAUUUGCUCAAGGCUGAUGGACACUGGUACAUUGUAAUUGAUUUAUUCCAGAUUUGGGAAACAUUGGAAUUUAUAUUGAUUCAAAGUGUCUCUUACCUAUUAGCCACAUCUCUUCCAUCCAGCC